GAGCCCGUGGCUCAAUGGUUAGAGCGUUUGACUUCUGAUCAACAGGUCGUGGGUUCGAUCCCUGGGUGGCGCA
rnacentral:tRNA from 1 species